GUAACGCAGUCACAUAGUUGCAGUCGUGCUUUAGAAAAGUUAUGUAUUAAUGCUUACAAUUUAUUAAGGGUUACUUUUUUACAUCUGCAGCUGAAAACAUAACGCCUAUCAAGUUGUGACUGGGAGAAGCGGUAACCGGGCCCGACCAGCUGGAUGUCGCAGCCAGAGAGAGUGCUCCCCUCACUGGUGAACUGCACCGCCAGGGGGGACGGCUUGCCUGAGCCCUCAGGUGGCUGGAACCUGCAGAGCAGUGACCCCACCCCUGGGAAGGGUCGAGAGAGUGGCCAGAUUUCUGGGAUAUAUCUGGAAUCUUCCACAGAAUUCUCUGCUGUUCAGCAUUCCUAGAAGAGAUUAAAUGAAGUAAAC